CCGUGCCCAAGAGAUCGGGAUAACACCUGGAAACAGAUGCUAAUACCGGAUAAUAACAGAUGAUGCCUAUCAACUGUUUAAAAGAUGGUUCUGCUAUCACUCUUGGAUGGACCUGCGGUGCAUUAGCUAGUUGGUAGGGUAACGGCCUACCAAGGCGAUGAUGCAUAGCCGAGUUGAGAGACUGAUCGGCCACAUUGGGACUGAGACACGGCCCAAACUCCUACGGGAGGCAGCAGCU
rnacentral:rRNA from 1 species